UCUCACUUAACACGAUGACGAUAUUUGGGAUCUGAGAAUUGAAUUAGUGGGCAAUUCUCACUGUUACUAUUAUUAUCCCAUAAAUAUCCCCACAUGUUAAACUAUACAACAACUGUGUGACUUGACCAGCUUGCAAAGUUAGACUUUAGACAACCCAUUCAACACAGAGCAGGCUUGCAGUCAGACUAAAGGAGGCCAAGUAAAGACAAAGAACGCACAAAGGCAGAAAAGAAAGGGGAGCGAGUCAGGACAACAAAAAAAAUAAAAGAAGUUUGUUGUCAAUCAAAACAUGCAUACAGUGAUUAUAAACAUAAAACUCUAACAGAUGACUGUAAUUUAUUUCCAAAAAGGGCAGAUUGGGAGAGCGCUAGAUGUACUUCAAUUGUAUGAUGGACCAGAUGUAAUAUUUUUUUAAAACUUAUAUCUAUCACCAAGCAAUCACAAUGAGUAUCUACAAGAUUCUCAGACAUAUGUGAGCAACGUUGAUGCUUGAAGUGUCACUUUAAAUGUAAGCACAGCCUAAAUGACUGUGUAAUAGGUUUAGGAGCAAUACAGCUGUCAGAUUUAAAUCAGUUAUAACAUUUGCAUGUUUUCCUUACAGAUGCCUUAGUCUGUCGCUCUCUGACUCAGCUAAACAAAGCUAAAUCAUGUCUUAUGGCUUUAGUUUCACAGAUGCUUUAAACAGGUAGCAGUGAGUCAGGGAUUAGGUGCUUGACUCAGAGAGUUUAGGGAUUAUUUACAGAGCAAAUGUGGCUUUCGGGUCUAGAAGUCACCAUGGAAACCAAUCAGUUGUACCUGAUUAUUGCUCCGCUGUUAGAAAACUGCCUCACAAUGGCUCUUUAAAAAUAGCCCCCAAUGUUUAAUCAAGUAGAUGUAGAUGAAUGAAUAUUUUUUGCAGCAAGGAA